GCAUUUUUGGUGUGGUCCCUGAGCCAGCUGGAUAAACUAUCAGCGGCAGCCUCAGGAAGUGGCUCUAUGCUGGGGAAUGGGAGAGGGGUUAGCACCCUUUCCACCUGAACACCAGCAUUGGCUCUACUUGGAAACUCCCCACGAGGACACCAGAGGAGAGAGAAAACCAGCCUCCAAAGAUGCCAGAAGUGGAUAAGAGGCCACUGGUACUUCCCUGCAAGAAGACAACACCAGAGCAAUGAUACUUUGAACUUCUUUCAUCCAAAGCUCUCCAAGUGAUUUUCAGAUAUUCAUUAAAUAAGCUUCACAUCACCCCAGAGCUCUGAGAUGACUCACACAUUGAGGAACUGUUUUGUGGUUUGGCACAGCCCACCAAACCACAUUUUCAGCUCUUGGACUCAAAUCAAAAAGCAGAUCCAGAUUCUAAAAGAGUGAAGCCUAGCAAAUGUGCGUGCCGCCUAUAGCGACUCGGUGCCAUCAGCUUCUUCAGCUUGGACCGGAUCUGAAAGAACUGCACUUCUCACCUAAUCUCCGUGGCAGCAUCUCACCCCUAGUAGCAUUAACUGUGUUGAACAGAGCUAAAGGGCAAUCGCCAAAGGUUAAAAACAGAAACACAGUAAGGAUUGGAUCAUAUCAAUUGUAAACAGUCUAAUGUUUUUUAAACGGCCUUUAAAAAAAAAAAAAAAAAGCCAGUCCUGUGAAAUGUAUCAGAUUCUAACACCUUUGCUAAUUCUCACGAUUUGACUGCAAGUCCUGCGAUAUUUGCGGUUUUAUUUAAAGUCCCAAUUCCUGGAGACCAGUGUUUAUGUGAGAAUCUCCGCUAGCUUGCUUUCUUAAGCUUCUAGCCCACAUGGUUGCAGAGGAAAUCAUGAAAAUGUGACCCAAGUACAACUUAAAGGCUCAAAAUCCAGA